UAAAGGGAGAAGCAGGUUUCCUGUGGGGAGCCUGAUUCAGGACUUGAUCCCAGGACCCCAGGAUCAUGCCCUGAGCCAAAGGCAGACGCUCAACUACUGAGCCACCCAGGUGCCCUCAUUGGUUGACUUUAAAUAAAGAUUAUCUCUGGUAAUCUGGGUGUGCUUGGCCCAAUCAAGUGAAUGGCCUUAAGAAUAAAAUUGAGGUCUUCUAGAGGAAGACAAAAUUCUGCCUCAAGUCUACAGCAUCUACUCCUGCUCAAGACUGUUCAAUCUGCUGGCCUGACCUAAAAUUUAAGAUUUUCCCAGCCAGACUCUGCAAUCACAUAAGCCAAUUCCCUGAAAUAAUUCUCCUUUUAUCUAUCUAUCUAUCUAUCUAUCUAUCUAUCUAUCUAUCUAUCAUCUAUCUAUCUAUCUGUCAUCUUACUGUUUCUACUUCUCUGGAGAAGCCAAACUAAUUAUCCCUUGCAAAAUUGAGAAAGGCAUCACCUGGAUUCACUGGACACUUGAUAUAUAAAAUUCUUAAAAGACUUAUUUUUAAUUUUUUUCAAUAGACUAUAAGUGAAGAGAUCCUACCUUAUUUGUCUUAGUAUCCCCUAAAAGUGUCUGCUAGAUCAUAUUCUCUAAAUAUUUGCAGGGAUGGCAUAACAAGCAUGGAUUUUGUGGCUAUUAGUCCAUGAAGUCAGGGGUGAAAGAAGUAUCACAUUUUCUUUCCAUCUGCCUCCCAGCACUCCCAGUGCUAGAAUGCAGAAUUGUUUUUUAGAAUAUUUUUUCUCAUUCAUAACUGGAGUUUUCUCCUUUUCAGAGUUGUGCAGGAAUCCCUGGGUUUUAAGGAGCCCCAGACUAUUGGGAGGAACCCUCAAGUCAUUUGUCACAGGUCAUUAGCUCGGGCAAAUAUUCUUUCUUCCAUGCCUGUAUUCCAAUGCACAUGGCCCCAUGGGUGCUGCUGGUUUUGUGCCAUGUUUGGGGCUGGCCCUGUGCCUGGGCUCCAGCCUCACUGGUGAACCCCACAGCCUCCCUUCUCAAAGGGCUAUCCAUCCCCAUCACUGUGUUUCACCCCCCCCCCCCAGUAAGAUCCAUUGCUUUUUAUCUCUUAACUGUCUAGAAAGAGCAUCUUUCUCCUUUUGAUCAGUUAAGAUAACCCCUCUCUUUCUUUCUGUGGAAUAAGGAGACAUCUUUUCUAUGUGGUUAGGCUUUUAAGAGAGUCAGAAGAGCUGCCAAUUUUAAGUAGCUCCCUGCAAAAAUCCCUCAAAGCAAAAAACCUCAAAGGGCCCAGGAAAUCAAACACAACUUGUUUAACCAACUAUUCUCACAUAAUUAUCUGUCCAUCUGUCCACUAAAAUGUAACUUUCUAGAAUACUAGCUGUAGAGAAAUGGCAAUGAGAUCAAAUGAAUGUUUUUGUUCAUUUAUUCGCUCAUAUUUUCUAAAUGUUUUAUAAUAACAUGAUAACUUUCAUAAAUUGAGAGACUCUUAUUAAGCCAGAAGACCAUGACAUGGCCAAAGGGUUUCUAAAGUCAGAAAAAAGACUCAGGAUCAAAUUCUAGCUUUGCAAUUUGCUUGCUCUAUGACUCCCAAACCUCAAUCAAACUUUUGUUUUCUGAACCAAAUAAGCCAAUGCAUGUAAAGUUCUUGGUAGAUGCUAGUAUCUACUUCUUUAAGACAGUAUCAGAGCUCUUAUCCAUGCAAGAUUGUAUCAUCAGUAAAGGCCUGGUUCUUGUAGGAAGACAAACUAAAAGUUAUUUGUUGAAUUAAUAACUGAAUGAGGACCACAGGACCUCCUGUGUGAAUAUUUAUGCAUAUUUCUUUUAAACACUCUCAUUCUUCUUGAAUUGUGUGACAAACUACAUGGAGAGACUUGAAGAAGCUAGUAGGAUUUUCUCAUACGACAUGUCAUGAGCCCAACAAUACACACAUUUUAUCUCUAUAAUUCUGAGUCCAUGGAAAAAUUACAUCUAAACCAUGUACUUAUGAUUUGACAUCUGUACCAGUGAGAGAUGAAGAUGUCUGACCACAACCUAAAACAAAACACCACCUGAUAGUCCAAAGCACUGCCUGAGUGGCACAUUCAGCCUAGCAUAAGCACAUACUCUGCUUUACAUAUCUUGAAGAUGUGUGUCUUAUUUAUUGUGUAUUGAAUAUUAUUUAUCUAUUGCUGCACACACAGUUACCACAAUCUUACCAAAUUAUGACGACCUGCAUUUAUUACCUCACCAUCUCUGUGGGUUGGGAAUCUGGACAUGGUUCAAGGUAUCACAGGAUUGUAGUGAUGGUGUUGGCCAGACAUGGCUACUGGAGAAGGUGUUGGCCAGAGCUCAGAUACCUUUUGAGGCUCUCCUAUAAAAAGAUCCACCCUCAAGCUCAUUAUGAGAAGGAUUCAGUUUCUUGCUCACUGCUGUUGGCUGGAGGCUGCCCUCAGUUUCUCACCUGAUAGACCUCUCCAUAAGAAGUCUUAUUCCAUGAAAACCCACAAGGAAAAGAGUUAAUAGUCUGUAAGCAGGGUGGACGUUUCAAUCCUAUGUAGUGUUACUGGAGAGUUAACAUCUUAUCACAUGCCCUGUACUCUAUCGGUUAGAAACAAGCCACAGAUCCUGUCCAUACUUAAGGGGUGAGGAUUACACAAGGGCAUGCAUGCCAUAAGGUGGGAUCAUUGAAAACUGUCUAAGAAUCUAUCAGCCACAGUACCCAAAGGGAUGGAUCUGAAAUUCACCUGUCAUGGUCAAAAAGAGUUCAUAAGAAUUUGUACUCUGAUCACAACCAAGUCAUCAGGAUAUGGGACAAGAAACACUGCAAGUCCCCAGCGGGGGAUGAGGAGGAGCAGAGCCUGCAGACAGCCGCAAUAAGUGCAGCAGAGAUCAGAAAUCAACUUGCGUUGCUCUGGGAUGCUGAGAUUUGGGGGUUUGACAUAACUCAAUUAAUCAAGACUUCACGGAAGAAAGAAAAAUAAUUCUACCCAUACGGCGGUCUUCUUAUAUUCCCAGAAUCGAAGUUCCUUAUUUUUUUUUCCUGGUGCCUAAGAGGAAUGCAGGCCCCCUAAAUAAGUCUUCUGUGUGGGACAAAAGACUGAAAAACUGUGGCAUAAAAGCAUUUCUUUGUUUAAUUUUUAAUUGUUGUCCCUCUCUUAUUCAGAAAAUGAAGUCACCUUUGUGGUGGUUUCAUGAACCGCUGGGUAAUCAAAAUUAUUAUGCCGCCACCUGUUGUCUGUUAAUUAUUCUGAGAAGAUACUCAUAAAUCAUAACACCGGACAAUAAAUCAAACUGUCAGUUCGCAGGUCAAAGGUGACCCAUGAAAAGUUAUAGGUCACCCACAGGGUGUGAAAGAGCAGGGUUUUAGAGCAUCACUCAUUGUCAAGCACUGUUGGGAGAAGUGCCAUCGGAACAAAAGGAGAACUGGAGUACAGAAGAAUUCCACUCAGGGGCUGGGCUCUGGCUGCCAGCAUCAGUAGAGUCAAACCUACAUUCCGCUUGGAAUGACCCGCAAGGAUCCCACCAUGGCUUAGCUCAGACUUGCUGUCCCUUUGGAACCUUGUCACAAGGAGUGUCCCUUUUGGUAAAGUCUGAAGAGCUAUGGGCUUCGAACAUCAUCUUCUCUUUCUCCCAUGUCCUGAAGAAUGCACUGGAGAAGUUGUUGUCUUGCUUCAUUAUUCAUCAAGACAAUCACAAUAUGUCAAACUGCCGUUGAUUGGAGGAUGCUUCAGAAUGUCUUACUACCUAAAUUAAUUUGGUUUGGAAUAUGUUUUCCUUUUGGUGUGACAAGAACUUGAACUGCAUUUAACAUUUUCAACUCAUUUAUUUCCGGUCCCCUGUAUUUAAAAUAACAUAAUCGCUGGAAACCAGCGUGUGUUGAUAGAUAUCCUUGAUUUAAAACCUGGCUAGGGGUAAAUUAUUUCUGAUGUGGUGGAAGCAACUUUAGGAUGAGGCAUAAUAAAGACAUAAUGAUAAGGCAGCUGGGACACAGAACUAAUGUUCCAGUUGAGAGAUGUACUGCCUGCUGUUUGAAUUAAAUUCUGUAAAAUGGACAA